UGGGCCUCAUCACUUCAGUCCCGUCCUGCUCAUAGCACAAGGACACCCCGACUGCAUUUCCAGGCCCCGGUCCCAAGCAGGCCCAUGCACUGGUUGGAGUCUGUGGUGCUUGGCACACUACAAAGCUACAAGAGAGCUCAUGGCUGAAACAGAAGCGCUGGACAACCAGAUGGCCGGGGACAGGGUACAGAGAGUGCAGAGGCAGCAUUCCUGACCCAGCCUGGGCUCCUCAGCAUGGCUGCAGCUGUGUCCACCCCACACAAACAUGGCUUUACCCCAGCUCCUCGGUCUCUGCCACUGGUGGCACCCUCUCCUGGAUGCUGUAGUUCUGAGUCUGGUCAGCUAGAGCUCCCCGCCUUGGACCUUGCUUCCACGCACAGCAACUGGGCUCUGGGGUGGGCCAAACCUGUGUCCACUGCUCUGGCUUCCUCAGUUUAACUACCCAAGGACAACCACACUUUCAGGUGGUUGGAGGUCAUCACAGAUGAGGAAACAGGAUGGGAGGCUGAGGGUGGCAGGUGGGAGGGUAGGGGGGUGGGCUGCUGGCUGCAGGCUUAUCUCAGUGGCAGAACAGAGGCCCCAUGUGAGGCCAGACUACAGAUGAACAGGAUAGUGCCACCUUUCCUCGGCCACUCACAACACUGAGCAACACCUGACACAUGUGCACACUUGCUCGCCAGGGCUCACACUCACACAUGCAGAUGCAGGCCCAUGCCCACCUGCUCAACUGUGCUUACAUGCAUGCUGACACACACACACAGAUAAGAAAGCCCAUGCACGCUUGCUCACUGUGCUCACACACAUGCAUACUGACACACACAGAUGUAAGCCCACGUACGCCUGCUCACUGUGCUGACACACUCGUGCUGACACACACAGAAGUAAACCCAUGCACACUUGCUCACUGUGCUCACACACGUAUACUGACACACACACACAGAUGUAAGCCCAUGUACGCCUGCUCACUGUGCUCACACACAUGCAUGCUGACACACACACACAUAAGCCCAUGCACGCCUGCUCACUGUGCUCACACACAUGCACACCCACUUACAUGUGCACAGAUGUGGUCCAGGGGGCCAGAGUAGGGAGGGAAAAAGAGAUGGGCAAUGGGACCAGUAAGCUUUUGCUUUUCUCCAUGACAGCCAAAGAAGAAUAACAGAAACCCAGUCCCUAAAUAAGAGAGUCAGAAAAGCAAGAAACUAAUUCUGCUCCUUCUCGAAGAAUAUAAAAGGACAAGUGGACAGGCUCGGUGCCUGUAGCUCAAGCGGCUAAGGCGCCAACCACAUACACCGGAGCUGGCAAGUUCAAAUCCAGCCUGGGCCUGCCGAACAACAAUGACAACUACAACAAAAAACAGCCAGGCAUUGUGGCGGGCGCCUGUACUCCCAGCUACUUGGGAGGCGAAGGUUAAGAGAAUCGCUUAAGCCCAGAAGUUGGAGGUUGCUGUGAGCUGUGAUGCUACAUCACUCUACCCAGGGUGACAGCUUGAGGCUCUGUCUCAAAAAAAAAAAAAAAAGGACAAGUGGGCAAAAUACCAAAACAACGCCUCCAUCUCUAGGAUUGUGAUACAUUCUGGCUCAGAACCAGAACCAGCUGAGGCCAGAAUGAGGGAGAAUCCCAACUAGAUGGGAGGCAAGCAGAGUGGUGGCGAGGAGGGCAUGAAGGGACGUCCUCCUAGAAGCCUUCCCAUGGGGCACAUCACUGGGGGAAGUGAGCAAGGCCCGCCCUGGGCCCAGGGAGGCGCACUUCUCAGCACUGGCUCUUAGGCGCUGCUUGCAAAUGCUUGUCACUUUGAAAAAUGUUAAGGCAAAAAAGGGCAGCGUGACAUUCAUCCGGUAACUUCUGAAUGAAGCCCUGGAGAAGAAGGCUAUUUCUAUCCUAGGCAUUCUAAGAAAAAAAUGUAAAGAUUUUCUAAAAAGUCCAGGUGUUUUAACCACUUACUCAAGAGAAUCCCGCAGCCAAUGUGCGUCUCUGAAGACCCUUGCAGCUUGGGGGAUUCUUAGAGGUUAGAGGCUGGAAAGCAGGUUCUUAGUACAAGCAAGCCCCCUGGGACCUCGUCACAAGUCUAGGAGAGCCAAGGGUGACUUACCCACAUGAGGUCUCCAUUGCUCUGUGGCUUCUUUUCCUGUCCAGGGCAGCAAAGUCCAGGGAUUCAGUGGGACCCUCAACCUCUGCCCUUAGAUACUUUUGCUAAUGUCACUCAACAGGCAGGAGUUAGAGCAGGUGUUGAAAUCCAGGUUUCCAGGCUAGAGCCCCCCUCUUCCUGCAGGGGGUUUGAGCCCCCGGAACAGGCUUGGCUUUGAAGCCCCACUGUCCCCGCUCAGAUGUCUGGGUCUGCUUCUGCACUAAUGGGCUAGAAGAGUCAAAGAAUGAAGCUGAUUUCUGCAGGCCCAAACUGAGCCCCGCUGACAGCAUCUUCUAGUGGGGAUGGGGCCCUGUGCUCUUGCCUUCCGAUCUUGGCAAUGUAGUAAACGGGUUUUGAGCUAAGACCCCAAGUCAGAUUCUCAGAGACACUGGGACCCAGUAACUUAAUGUCCAAUACCCACUACCUCCUCCCCACCAUGAUGACCCAGUGAGGCUACACCUGCCCUAUGACCCUCCAGCUCAGAGGCCAUGGGUGACGGUCUGGGGUGGGGGUGCCUGGUGCCUAGCGUGGGCUGCUCCAGAGACUAAGUGAAGAGAAGCUGCUAGCUAGCCACCUGGACACACUGUUGGGACUGACCACCUGCUCCACAGGGCUGCUAGUGCCUUGGAAGCACCCACUGCCACCCUCAGGAAAUGCUCUAGGCUGCCCAGACUACAGGGGUAUGCGCAGCAUCCAUGGUUGCAUGGGCAGCAUAGACUGGCCACUGUGCUGCUCUCCACUUGCUGAAAGGACAGCUUGAUGUCAUCAACUUCUGGGCCUUUAAUUAAGCCCUAAACUUAGGCCACUUGAAUUUCUCUGAUGGCUCUGGCUCCUUCUAAUCCAUAAUAGAUUAAAUGGUGUCGUUUGCCUGGAACCCAUGAACGUGAACAUAUUUGGAAAAGGGUCUUUGCAGAUGUGAUUAAGUUAGAUUCUAAAAUGAGAUCAUCCUCGAUUAUGGGGGGGGGCCUGAAUCCCAUGACAAAUCUUAUAAAGGGAGAAGACAUGGAGGAGGCCACGUGAAGACAGGCAGAGACUACAGUGACACAGUCACAAGCCAAGGACACCUGGGGCCACCAGGAGCUGAAAGAGGCUGCCCUGAGCAGGCCAGGAGCACCACCCUGUCCAUAUCUUGAUCUCAGACUUCUGGCCUCCGGACCAUGAAAGUACAGAUUCCUGUUGUUUUAAGAUACCGAGCUGUGGCACUUUGUACGGCAGUCCUGGUAAACUGACACUUAACCCCAGUUAUUUCCCUGUUUUCAUCCCAAUAGUAGGCAGUGGGGCAAGAGCGGGCUGUGAGGCUGCCCUGAGGACACUAGGCUCUCUGCCCCCACAGGGGACACAGGCUCUCUGCAGACGUAGAGAGGAAGCACCCGAGGCGUUCUUCUCCCAUGAGGACAGAGUCCCGGCAGCAUUUGGUAGGGGGACAGCAGGCAGGCCACAUUGCAUUCCAUCCACUCCUCACCUUUCCUUCUUCUCUCACUGAGAAUCCAAGCCAGAGCAGUGGAGAAGUCCCCCAAGGUCUACCUGUCCUUGGCACAGGCUUGACCCUGUUCCUGCCCUCCUUGCUCUCUGAAAACCCCAAUUCAUUCUGCUGGCCACUGUCCCCACUGCCCAUGCUGCUCACAUUAGCAUGUUCCUUUCAGCCACUGAAAUGUACCUUGGACUCAAGCACAGGAACAAAAUCCGUACACAGGAUCAAGGUCCCUCUCCUCUCUCUGUGGUAGGAUGCUUUCAUCAGCCUAGCCCAGGGCAGGGCGCUCCCUGUGCACGGCAGAAUAGGACUCAAGAGUGGUGUGCUCAGAGGACCUUGUGGGAAGUGUCCAGUUGGGACAACGGACACAAGCUGAGCCCAAUACAAAGAGCACAAGGAACCCUGGCACCAUCCUGCUAACAGGGACUGUGCCUGGUUGGCAGACCUCUGGCCUUCAGUGCUGCAUGAGAGGACAUUCUGUUGCUUAAACCGCCCAGUCUGCAGUGCUGUGUCGUGGCAGCCCCAGCACAGUCAGACGCUGCAGGGCCGAAUGCCCAUGAGGACAGCACGCUUGGCCGCUCCACUUCUGCCUGCUGAUCACUUGCUGCAUGUCAGUCAGCAUCCUGACUGCACCUGAGGGUGCUGCCUGGUGGGGAGCAAGGCUGUCCC